UCAGACAGUGAAGCCUGAGCAGCAGGAGGAGAGCCUGCAGGCCUCCUGGGUAGAAUUGCACCUUCACAAUAAUAGAAAAGGGAGCACUGUUUCAGCCUCAGUUUUUAUUUAUAAUGGUGACAUGAAAAAAAUACUGCUGGGUUUUAGCAUGAGUCCAGAUAGAGACAGCUCUGAGAGUUCUCACUGUGACAGCUCACGUCUUUCACAGACACCACGGGAUACUAAUAGGGCUUCUCAAACAGACACACAAUGCAUUAGAGAGAAAAAACUGCUCUCAUUCUGAGAAAGAUUAUGUUGAGAGAAAAAAGUUAAAAGUGUCUUAAGAAAAAACUGAGAUUAGAUAUAAGAUUGAUCAAGUCAGCCAGAAAAUAUUUCCCUAAGAAGAAUUUCUCUCCAAACACCCAAAGUGCAUAGCUACUCUCAGCAAGGGAAACAUGAGCAUUAUUGAAUAAAGGGGGCACAUUCUCAGCAAAAAAAAAAAUUUUUUUUUUUUGAGAUAGAGUUCCAUUCUUUUUUUUUUUUUUUUGGACAGAGUCUCACUCUGUCGCCCAGGCUGGAGUGCAGUGGCGCGAUCUCGGCUCACUGUAAGCUCUGCCUUCUGGGUUCACGCCAUUCUCCUGCCUCAGCCUCCUGAGUAGCUGGGACUAUCGGCGUGUGCCACCACACCCGGCUAAUUUUUUUUUGUAUUUUUAGUAGAGAUGGAGUUUCACCAUGUUAGCCAAGAUGGUCUCGAUCUCCUGACCUCGUGAUCCACCUGCCUCGGCCUCCCAAGUGCUGGGAUUACAGGCGUGAGCUGCCACGCCCGGCCAAGGAGUUUCAUUCUUGUUGCCCUGGCUGGAGUGCAAUGGUGUGAUCUAGGCUCACUACAACCUCUGCCUCCCGGGUUCAAGCAAUUCUCCUGUCUCAGCCUCCCAAAUGACUGGGACUGUAGACACACACCACCACACCUGGCUAAUUCUGUUAUUUUUGGUAGAGACGAGGUUUCACCACAUUGUCCAGGCUGGUCUCAAACUCCUGACCUCAGGUGAUCCACCCCCCUUGGCCUCCCAAAAUGCUGGGAUUACAGGCAUGAGCCACAGCGCCCAGCUCUCAGCAGAAUUUUAAAAGAUUUAUCUUCCAUCUCUGCUGUUCUCUUAUUUCCUAACCAUUGAAUGUGAGAUAUAUUGGAAUAUAUCUGACAACUUCCACCAGCA
rnacentral:lncRNA from 1 species